rnacentral:rRNA from 1 species
UACGAAGGGGCUAGCGUUGUUCGGAAUUACUGGGCGUAAAGGGCGCGUAGGCGGCGUGUCAAGUCAGGCGUGAAAGCCCGGGCUCAACCUGGGAACCGCGCUUGAGACUGGCAUGCUCGAGUUCGGGGAGAGGAUGGUGGAAUUCCCAGUGAUAGAGGUGAAAUUUCGUAGAUAUUGGGAAGAACACCGAUGGCGAAGGGCAGCCAUCUGGACCGACAC